rnacentral:rRNA from 1 species
UGAACCUGCGGAGGGAUCAUUACUGAGUGAGGGCUCACGCCCGACCUCCAACCCUUUGUGAACCAAACUUGUUGCUUCGGGGGCGACCCUGCCGACGACUCCGUCGCCGGGCGCCCCCGGAGGUCUUCUAAACACUGCAUCUUUGCGUCGGAGUUUAAACAAAUUAAACAAAACUUUCAACAACGGAUCUCUUGGUUCUGGCAUCGAUGAAGAACGCAGCGAAAUGCGAUAAGUAAUGUGAAUUGCAGAAUUCAGUGAAUCAUCGAAUCUUUGAACGCACAUUGCGCCCUUUGGUAUUCCGAAGGGCAUGCCUGUUCGAGCGUCAUUUCACCACUCAAGCCUGGCUUGGUAUUGGGCGUCGCGGUGUUCCGCGCGCCUUAAAGUCUUCCGGCUGAGCUGUCCGUCUCUAAGCGUUGUGGAUUUUUCAAUUCGCUUCGGAGUGCGGGUGGCCGCGGCCGUUAAAUCUUUAUUCAAAGGUUGACCUCGGAUCAGGUAGGGAUACCCGCUGAACUUAAGCAUAUCAAUAA